CAACUUUGGUCAAUCCAAUGGGUAGAUCACUGCAGUUUUUUAUAGUGGGAGUAGAUCACAGUCUCUCGGGAGCUGGACAUGCCUGCUCUACAUGAUCAGUUUCCCCAAAUCAGACAUGGCCAAAGGUAUCUUCCCCCCAUACGUUCUACUUGCUUGUUCCCCAUCAAUUCAGUUGAGCUUUCCAGCGAUGUUCCUCGUGCCACAGCAGUAUCUACUCUAUCACGUAUCAGCUGUGUCUCCUCCCUAAUUUAACCUCGAAGCAUCUUCUUCCUGUACCUGCUUGACCCCGUCCCCAGCUUACCAGUGCUUUUCUGCUUCAGUACCCUAGGCGGAAGUCUUGGAUUACACUCUGUAUAGUUCACAGCUUGCAUGUUGCACUUGGCUUCUUCUGCAGAAUGGAGACGAGCUCUUAUGCAGAGGGGAAGUGAGCAAAAUGCUCUUCUUGUGAUUGCUCUCUGUGGAUCUUCCAUGUUCUUGCCAAUGAACGUUUUAAAAUAAAAGACUCUCAGCACAACCAAGCACUUGCGUGCGAUCUUUAGCAACACUGCUAGCUGGUUCUAUUGUAAUGCCCAUGCAAAGGUGUACCUUGGCUUCCACCAGCUGAGGCAGCUCACCACUACAGGAGUCUUUCACACAUCCUGAGAAUUGCUCUGGAACAGUGGAGUUAACACCCUUCAGCCUUAUUCUAAAAUACUUGAUGGCAAUAAUAUGUAGCCCAUUUUUCUUUCAGGAACAGAUAAGCCUUCCUGGAAGCAGCCACUGUACUUCCUAUGUGAGUCAUACACACUGAGCUGUUUAGGUCCUAGUCAACUUAUUCUAGGUUCCAAUGGCUAAACAUUGCAACCAUUCAAUACAAUUUUUCUUUGUAUAGUAUGUAUAAAUAGAUUUCUGGGCAGCUGCAGUAGCUGUUCUCAACAGUAGCCCAACUCCUCCAACACACAUUUCUAAACUUAAAUUGAGAAACUUGUUUGCAUCUUUAGCCCAAGUAGAAAUUGCAAAUCAAUCCCCAAUGAGCAUAUACGGUAGUACCUCGGGUUAAGUACUUAAUCUGUUCCGGAGGUCCUUUCUUAACCUGAAACUGUUCUUAACCUGAGGUACUUUAGCUAAUGGGGCCUCCCACUGCCGUCGCAAUUUCUGUUCUCAUCCUGAAGCAAAGUUCUUAACCCAAGGUACUAUUUCUGGGUUAGCGGAGUCUGUAACCUGAAGCGUCUGCAACCCGAGGUACCACUGUAUAGGAUGGACACAGGACAAAUUCAGCAGCUGACUUCUCAUCUGAAAACAUUUCAGGCCUCUUACAUCAUAGCUGUACAGUGAGAAAGUGUAUAGCUCACAUAGAACAAACAGACCAGAACCAAUGAUCUUAAUAAUAAUAAAUAGGUGUUUCAAUACUGAUGCUUUAUAGCAGCACUUAACAUUGUAUAUACUUCUCGCAAGACAACUGCUUGAGAUUAGUAUGUCUGCUAUGGAUGGUGAUUAGUUUUGGUAAAGAAAGUAGGCCUGAUUCACAGUCCUUCAUACAGAGAAGCUGAUUGUAAAACUACUUCCCCUGUUGCUACCAGUGUUAUUCACCUGUUGCAGGCUAGAAAGGGUACCCAGAUUGAUAGGAGGACAUGCAUGAGAACCUAGAUUAUUUAAUUUCCUUGGGAUGCUCAAGACCUCCAGGUACCUCUUCAAACUAUUAAGAGUUUGCUCUCUUCCUCCUAUGAGAUGCUUUUGACUAAUAAAAUCUUUUCUAGUUCUCUCCCAUUAAAACUUGAGAGCAGGUGCAGAGGCACGGCAGAAAAUACACCAAACAUCAGCCAACACAAUAUGAGUCACAGAGCUAACUUUUGCUUUGGUUUAAAUCGAGCUUUUUAGGUACCUAUAUACCACUGCAUCCGUGCUUCAAUCCAAUGUUUCAAGAGUAGAAAAAUCUGCAUUGGCACCCCGUGAACAUAUUGCCAACUGCAGCACCUCAAGCCAAUCUGGAGAGCACUCAAACUGUGGGGAGAGGAGCUGAGAAGGACACACCUAGACUGCUUUUUGUUUAGGAACAUGACUCUUGUGGGUACCAUAGCACCCUCAGACAUCUUCCUUUAUCUCUCCCAUAUUUUUUUAAAAAAGAACUGUUUUCAUUUGGGGGAAUUGACUAAAAAAUAAUACUGUGUGUUUCGAGUUGUAUGAAGCCAUUUUGCCUUGAAGGGGUGGGGAACAAGUAGUCUUUCCCUGCUACAUAAAAUAUAACCAUGGCAGACUAUUGUGACUGCUGCCUUCAAAGAUCCCAAUCUCUUUCCUGUUUUUGGCUACCAAAAUCCCUUAAGGGCACAGCAUAACGUUUAAAACAUCUAAUGUAGGCACACUCCAAAAUCUUCCCAACAGAUGCAGAGCUUGAAGUCAUAAUUUACUAUCACAUCUAAACCAGGCAAACUAUGGUUUGCUUGCAAACCAAGAUGACAAAUCAGUCUGAACUAGGGUUGUGGGCAAACUAUAGUUUUCUUGCCCUGGCUGUAAUGUCAAGCUAUGGCUUUUUAUUUAACAGUGAAUGGUCUGGGGCGGUGGGGGGGGGUCAGGUAAGACAGAGCUUGUUCACAUAGCCCCCGUGAUUUGGCAUUACAUCUGAACUGAUCUAGAAUGAGGCAGAUCACAUACACUCACAGUUCUGUUACCCAGAAGUGAGUUACCUAAUUUACGCCAUCUAUACUAAACUCAG